rnacentral:misc_RNA from 1 species
UUGCCCUCCCGCUAAUAUAUCUACUAAGACUACCAUUAUUGCCGCACCUACCAAAUUGCCUACCUCGGAACCCUUAAUUGCACCCUUAGUCUCGGAGGAAGACGAAAUGAUCGUCAACUCCGUCGUGGAUGGGAAGAUACCCUCCUAUUCUCUGGAGUCGAAGCUCGGGGACUGCAAACGAGCGGCUGCGAUUCGACGCGAGGCUUUGCAGAGGAUGACAAGGAGGUCGCUGGAAGGCUUGCCAGUAGAAGGGUUCGAUUACGAGUCGAUUUUAGGACAAUGCUGUGAAAUGCCAGUGGGAUACGUGCAGAUUCCGGUGGGGAUUGCGGGGCCGUUGUUGCUGAACGGCCGGGAGUACUCUGUUCCAAUGGCGACCACGGAGGGUUGUUUGGUGGCGAGCACUAAUAGAGGGUGUAAGGCCAUUUACUUGUCAGGUGGGGCCACCAGCGUUUUGUUGAAGGAUGGCAUGACAAGAGCGCCUGUUGUAAGAUUCGCGUCGGCGACUAGAGCCGCGGAGUUGAAGUUCUUCUUGGAGGAUCCUGACAAUUUUGAUACCUUGGCCGUAGUUUUUAACAAGUCUAGUAGAUUUGCGAGGCUCCAAGGCAUUAAAUGCUCAAUUGCUGGUAAGAAUCUUUAUAUAAGAUUCAGCUGCAGCACUGGCGAUGCAAUGGGGAUGAACAUGGUUUCUAAAGGGGUUCAAAACGUUCUUGAAUUUCUUCAAAGUGAUUUUUCUGAUAUGGAUGUCAUUGGCAUCUCAGGAAAUUUUUGUUCGGAUAAGAAGCCUGCUGC